rnacentral:rRNA from 1 species
CAGUAGGGAAUCUUCGGCAAUGGACGAAAGUCUGACUGAGCAACGCCGCGUGAGUGAAGAAGGUUUUCGGAUCGUAAAACUCUGUUGGUAGAGAAGAACGUUGGUGAGAGUGGAAAGCUCAUCAAGUGACGGUAACUACCCAGAAAGGGACGGCUAACUACGUGUCAG